rnacentral:rRNA from 1 species
GAUGAACGCUGGCGGCGUGCCUAAUACAUGCAAGUCGAGCGAACAGACGAGGAGCUUGCUCCUCUGACGUUAGCGGCGGACGGGUGAGUAACACGUGGAUAACCUACCUAUAAGACUGGGAUAACUUCGGGAAACCGGAGCUAAUACCGGAUAAUAUAUUGAACCGCAUGGUUCAAUAGUGAAAGACGGUUUUGCUGUCACUUAUAGAUGGAUCCGCGCCGCAUUAGCUAGUUGGUAAGGUAACGGCUUACCAAGGCAACGAUGCGUAGCCGACCUGAGAGGGUGAUCGGCCACACUGGAACUGAGCCACGGUCCAGACUCCUGCGGGAGGCAGCAGUAGGGAAUCUUCCGCAAUGGGCGAAAGCCUGACGGAGCAACGCCGCGUGAGUGAUGAAGGUCUUCGGAUCGUAAAACUCUGUUAUUAGGGAAGAACAAAUGUGUAAGUAACUAUGCACGGCUUGACGGUACCUAAUCAGAAAGCCACGGCUAACUACGUG